UGGCAAGAAGGUGGCGUGGGCAUGACUCGAAUCUGCAGAAUACCAAUCCACAGACUGGCACCUGGAGAAGCUGCUUCCCAGAGUGGGUGGCUUGGCCAUAUUAAGUCUCCAGGGAACUUAGCAUCCUAGGAUCCAACACGCAAACUCCGGGAUGUGUAAAGGCAUGAACUGAUUGGAAUGACUCAAGCAUAUUUUCCAGAACACACUGGCUCAACUUCAGAAUCUCCUGGGGAUUUUUUAGGUAGACACACGGAGAUGUGGACUGACUCACUGGCCACCCAGAAAUGAAAUCCAAUAACAACAAAAUAACAGUUACACUGAUUGUAGGUGUCAUGUACUGAGUGCAUAUGAAGCUCCAGACACUGCACUGAGUACUUUACAUGCAAG
ensembl:lncRNA